rnacentral:rRNA from 1 species
GACGAACGCUGGCGGCGUGCCUAACACAUGCAAGUCGAACGGGAACCCCUUGGGAUUUGUCUGAGGGGGAGAGUGGCGAACGGGUGAGUAACACGUAGGUGACCUGCCCUGAAGAGGAGAAUAACCACUGGAAACGGUGGCUAAUACUCCAUGUGCUCGGUGGUUCGUUCCAUCGAGGAAAGCUCCGGCGCUUUGGGAGGGGCCUGCGGCCCAUCAGGUAGUUGGUAGGGUAAUGGCCUACCAAGCCGAUGACGGGUAGGGGGCGUGAGAGCGUGACUCCCCCACACUGGCACUGAGACACGGGCCAGACUCCUACGGGAGGCAGCAGUGAGGAAUAUUGCCCAAUGGACGCAAGUCUGAGGCAGCAACGCCGCGGUGGGCGAUGAAGGCCGUUCGGGUUAGUAAACGUCCCUUUUCUGGGGGACGAGAGAGGACGGUACCUCAGGAAUAAGUCACGGCUAACUACGUG